CAUAGGCGGAAGGCGAGAGAAUAGGGUUGUUCUCGUGUUCGGCGGCGGUAGUACAGAAAAUGGUAGUACUGUUGCGGCGGAAGACUUCAAGGAAGGAGAAGAAGCAUGCGGCGGCGGACUGUAAUGAGGAAGAAGAAGAAACGUGUUUCUGCGUUUGCUUUUUUUUUAGAGAAAGGGAUUGGUUAGGAUUGAUACCAUGUAAGAUAAUGAAAAUUGUGUCUUUCUCAUUGAUCUAAAUAGAAUAUAUAUACAUCAAUGUGUAACAUUUGGUCAACUAUCUAAUUAUGAUACAACAUAA
rnacentral:lncRNA from 1 species